ensembl:lncRNA
AAUAAACCGUUUCCAUUUGAGAACUCAAGAACUGUUUUAAUUGAAGCUCUCAGACAAAUGGACUUAAGCAAUGCUUAAUAGAAAGAUACAUAGGCCUUUAUACUAGGGCUAAAGAGCACUCGGAACACAAUGUUCUCUCACCGCCGUUCACAACCAUGAAGCGACCAAUUUCUAUAGUUGUCCGGCAAUUUCUUCUUUAUGGAACUCCUAUCUCCGCUAACCAAAUGAAUGGUUAUGGCUUUGGAGAGGAAAUGGCAUGCAUUCCUCCAUAAUCGUAAGAGGCUAUGGCACAAAGGACCACUCUAAUGUUGACCCAUGGAAAGGAGCUGUCAGGAGAUUGGAAGCGGUCUAGUGUGGGCCAAUGGGAAUGGGAUCUGUCUGGAGAGGCUUGUCAAGGAACCAGGCUUGCGUCUGGAUGGCAAUGGGACAAGGGG